GACGAACGCUGGCGGCGUGCUUAACACAUGCAAGUCGAACGGAAAGGCCCUGCUUUUGUGGGGUUCUCGAGUGGCGAACGGGUGAGUAACACGUGAGUAACCUGCCCUUGACUUUGUGAUAACUUCAGGAAACUGGGGCUAAUACCGGAGAGGAGCUCCUGCUGCAUGGGGGGGGAUGGAAAGUUUCGGCGGUUGGGGAUGGACUCGCGGCUUAUCAGCUUGUUGGUGGGGUAGUUGCUUACCAAGGCUUUGACGGGUAGCCGGCCUGAGAGGGUGACCGGCCACAUUGGGACUGCGAUACGGCCCAGACUCCUACGGGAGGCAGCAGUGGGGAAUAUUGCAAAAUGGGCGGAAGCCUGAUGCAGCAACGCCGCGUGCGGGAUGACGGCCUUCGGGUUGUAAACCGCUUUCGCCUGUGACGAAGCGUGAGUGACGGUAAUGGGUAAAGAAGCACCGGCUAACUACGUG
rnacentral:rRNA from 1 species